rnacentral:rRNA from 1 species
AAUACUCAACAAAAAAGCAUACGGUGGAUGCCUAGGUCAAAAGUACCGACGAAGGACGUACCAAGCAACGAUAUUCUCUGGGGAGCUGCUAAGAAGCUUUGAUCCAGAGGUUUCCGAAUGGGACAACCCACUUGUGCAUGGCACAAGGGAAAUUACUAAUGAAUUUUAAAAUUCAAAAUUCAAAUUUUAAAGGAAAUUCAAAAUUAAAAUGUUUAAAAAUUUAAAAUUUAGAUUUGAUUUAAAAUUAAAAAUUAAAAAUUUAAAAUUUUUUAAGGUAGUUUUUCUCGUGCUGUGCAUGAGUACCCCGUCAUAAAUACAUAGUGGCGGGGAGGGUACGCGCUGAACUGAAACAUCUAAUUAAGCGCAGGAAAAUAAAUCAAUCGAGAUUUCCCCAGUAGCGGCGAGCGAAAAGGAAACAGCCUAAACCUUGUCCUUCGGACAAGGAAAUUCGAAGCACGAAUAUCGAAAUCCUAAACAAUGUUCAAAAUUCAAAUGUCUUAAAUUCAAAAAGUUUUGGAUUUAUAAUUUUGAAAAUUUGUAUUUGUUUCGAAUUUCGGAUUUAGAAUUUCGGAUUUUCUUACCCGGAGGGUAAGGUGUUGUGGGGUCUACGAUAUAGCAUCAGUUUUAGAUAGUUGAAUACUCUGGAAAGAGUGGUCAAAGAAGGUGAUAACCCUGUAAACGAAAUUUAAAACUGGCUUAGUAGAUACCCGAGUAACCCGGGACACGUGAAAUCCCGGGCGAAUCUGGGGCGACCGCGCUCUAAGGCUAAAUAUACUUUUGGACCGAUAGUGAACUAGUACCGUGAGGGAAAGGUGAAAAGAAGAGCGAAACGCUCAGUGAAAUAGUACCUGAAACCGUAUGUUGUCAAGCUGUGGAAGUGGGGACUAGACAGUGGACGAUAGAUGAUGGAAAGUGGAAGAUAGUUUUUUGAGGAUAGAAGAUUGAAAAUAGAUUCAGUUUCUAACCUCUAUAUUCCAUCUUCAAAACACUACCAUCUAUAUUCUAUUUUCUACCGUCUAGUCUCUACAACCGCGUGCUUAUUGAAGAAUGAACCGGUGAGUUAAUUUAUACUCCAAGUCUAAGUGCUGAAUGGCAAAUAGGCGUAGUGAAAGCGAGCCUGAAAGGGCGUUUACCCUGAGAGCAAUCGAAGGGACCAAGGAGUGUGAAUUAGACCCGAAACCGAGUGAGCUAAUCAUGUCCAGGGUGAACCCCGCCGAAAGGCGGGGGGAGGCCCGAACCAGUGGCAGUAGCAAUUGCUUUGGAUGAGAUGUGAUUAGGGGUGAUAUGCCUAUCGAACUCGGAGAUAGCUGGUUCUCCCCGAAAUAUAUCUAGGUAUAGCCUUGGAAAAAAUUCAACGAGGGGUAGAGCUCUGGAUGGUCCGCCAAGCGAAAGUGAGGCGGACCAAUCAAACUCCAAAUACUCGUUGUGUAUCCAGGAGUCAGUCCGAUCCGGCUAAGCGGAGCGGGCCUAAGGGAAACAUCCCAGAUCAACAGCUAAGGUCCCUAAAUGCAAGUUAAGUGUUAAAGGAAGUCUAGUUCCUUAGACAGCCAGGAAGUUGGCUUAGAAGCAGCCACCUUUUAAAGAUAGCGUAACAGCUCACUGGUCUACUAUGGAGUGUGGCGCCGACAAUUAAUCGGGGCUAAACUUGCUACCGAAGCUUUGGAUGUCAUUCCGAUUUAUCGGGGUGGCGUGGUAGAGGAGCGUUCUAUAUGGAGUGAAUGGUAGCCGUGAGGCGACCU